ensembl:lncRNA
ACAUAGAUGAGUAUCAUUAAUCAUUAAUAAUAUAUAACUAAAGGCAAACAGAGCAAAUUUGUUAUUUCAGAAGAGUGUAUCAAAAUGGGUGCCCUUCGUAUGACUCAGAACCCAUGAAGUAGGUUCAAAAAUGUUGGUGACCCCUGUUUCAGAUCCACGACUCCAAAACGUUUCCUCCGUGCUGAUCUACGUCAACGAAAUGAAUAAAUUAUACAAAGGGUCAACAAAUGUCUGAGUCUCCGUGGCGCCCUGCUGAGAGCAGCCUUCAGGUUGGUGUUUUGGUGUUUUGAUCCACCGGGUUGGAAUCCAGGUCGUUCCGAUCUCUCCUUUAAUAUAUUUUUUUAUAUAAAUGUGUUCAUACGUGGCUGUGAUGUGGUGCUCACUCAUACAACCGCAAACGCCGCAAUGGAUUUGUGAUGCGUUUGGAAGAUUUUCAGCAAUAUGUUUGUGAAUGUGUGACGAAUCAGGGAACUGAGGCGGACACGUCUGCUGCUGAGGAGUGAACACAAACACGCACGCGUAGGGAAACCAGUGGGUGGAGACACCAGUGGGUGGAGAAACCAGUGGGUGGAGAAACCAGUAGGUGGAGAAACCAGUGGGUGGAGAAACCAGUAGGUGGAUACACCAGUGGGUGGAGAAACCAGUGGGUGUAACACCGGUAGUCGUGGUUCUAUCAGCCCGUUCAUGUCGCUCUGCUGCCGUAACUUCGCCUCGUGCUGCGUUUAAAGUAAUGUUUGAACCUGCCCGCAUUAUUAUGUCUAAACGCAUCUUAUUAACAGCACGCAGUCCGUCGUUUCAUAUUUAUGACGUUUUAAGUAAAAUAUUAAAUACGUUGAAAUCACGUCUUCGCGUAGAGUAAAUUUCGCCGACCAGUUCAUUAUUAUGAAAAUCUUAACGUUAAUAUCGUCUCUCUUUCAACCAACGUUACAACAUGACACAUUUAUCAACAAAUUGACGUUUUCUGUCACGUUGAUGCUUCAUCCCAUUUGUAGCCGGUUGAAAAGACGUUGAAAUGAGGUCUUAGACGUUCGGACCUCAUUUCAACCCGAUUUCAACCAUAUUUCAACGUUGAAAUUACGUCUUGUGCUCACUGGGUUAAAUGUGGGCAACAUGAAACGCUGAUGAAGACCUCUGAGGACGAAGGGACGGAUGGACAAAGUGGACAUUAUGCAAAUGAACUCAAACAGUGAGUGUUAUACAGAAUUACUUCAAUAUCUCACAUUAAUUCUUGUUAUUAAGAAAAUAAGUGUUUUACUAACCAGACAUGUGAUCCACACUCCGCACCGGCUGGUGGCGAUGACGCGCCGAUUAUUGAUCAUCUACCGCCGACCAAGUUAAAACAAGACGAAGAAGAAGAAGAGGAGGAGGAGGAGGAGGAAAAAAACCAGGAAAAGAAAAACCAGGAAAAGAAAAACCAGGAAAAGAAAAAGCAGGAAAAGAAGGAGCGUCGCAGAAAGUCUCCAGAGUUUCACUUUAACGUCUUAAAGUGUUCAGAUCCUGUGAGUGUGUCCGUGAUACACAGUGUGUGUUCAGUGUGUGUUUGUGUGUUAACGCGCCGCGAACUGUUUGAACCUUUUUUACCGUUUAACCGCAAAUACGG